UUCCAGACUUACACAUGCAAGUCUCCGCAGUCCAGUGAAAACGCCCUUAAAACCUACACCAGGUCAAGGAGCCGGCAUCAGGCACAGCAAAUCUUGCCCACAACGCCUAGUUUCACCACACCUCCAAAGGUAUUCAGCAGUGAUUAAGAUUGUCAAUAAGCGCCAGCUUGAAUCAGUUAAGGAAAAUAGAGCCGGCCAAUCCGGUGCCAGCCGCCGCGGCUAUACCGUGAGGCUCAAGUUGAUAUUAAUCGGCGUCAAGCGUGAUUAAAGAAAUAUAGAAAUUAGAAUUGAAUUUAGACUUAGCAGUUUAAAGCUUGUCCUCAAGAAACCCACAAACGAAAGUUAUUCUAAUAUAUCUUGACUACACGACAGUUUGGGCACAAACUGGGAUUAGAUACCCCACUAUGCCAAACCGUAAAAUUAACCAACACAUAACACGCCAGGGUACUACGAGCCUAGCUUAAAACCCAAAGGACUUGACGGUGUUCUGCCCAACUAGAGGAGCCUGUUCUGUAAUCGAUAGCCCACGAUAUACCUAACCAUUUUUUGCUAAUCAGCCUGUAUACCUCCGUCGUAAGUUUACCAUGUGAAUGAAGUAGUGGACACAAUGACUCACCGCCAAAACGUCAGGUCAAGGUGCAGCCUAUGAAAUGGAAGAAAUGAGCUACAAUUUCUAAUAUAGAACAUACGAAUUACUAUAUGAAAUAUAGUCAUGAAGGUGGAUUUAGAAGUAAGUGGGGAAUAGAGAGCCCCACUAAACAUGGCCCAAGAACGCGUACAAACCGCCCGUCACCCUCUUCGAUAGCCUUAAUCAAGAUACAUAACACACUAUCCGCGACUUAGAAGAGGCAAGUCGUAACAUGGUAAGUAUACUGGAAAGUGUACUUGGACUAA
rnacentral:ncRNA from 1 species